rnacentral:RNase_P_RNA from 1 species
UCAGAUGGCCGGAUGGCCGCUCGCAGCACCUCAGGUGGUGCGGGAGGAAAGUCCGGGCUCCACGGAGAACACGGUGACGGAUAACAUCCGCCGGGGGUAACCCCAGGGAUAGCGCCACAGAAAGCAAACCGCCGGCGUCCUUCGGGACGUGGUAAGGGUGAAACGGUGCGGUAAGAGCGCACCGCGCAAGCGGCAACGCAAGCGGCACGGCAAGCCCCACCGGGAGCAAGACCAAAUAGGGACGGCACAUGAUCGGUUUUCCGGAUCGCCGUCCGGGUCGGUCGCGUGAGGCGCCUGGUAACAGGCGUCCCAGAGGAAUGGCCAUCCGUUCGCCCACGGGUGAACGACAGAACCCGGCUUACAGGCCGUCUGACGCC